GGAAGGAGAAGUCGUAACAAGGUUUCCGUAGGUGAACCUGCGGAAGGAUCAUUGUCGAAACCUGCAACAGCAGAACGACCCGCGAACACGUUUUAAACAACCUUGGGCGGGCGAGAGGAGCUCGCUCCUCGGACCUUCCCUCACCCUCCAGGAGAAAUCUUGGCGGGCUAACGAACCCCGGCGCGAUCCGCGCCAAGGAACAAUAAAAGAUUAGCGCGUUCCUCGUGCGGAGACCCGGAGACGGUGUUCCCCGCUCGAGUUGCGUGUUCUUCAAAAUGUCUAAACGACUCUCGGCAACGGAUAUCUCGGCUCUCGCAUCGAUGAAGAACGUAGCGAAAUGCGAUACUUGGUGUGAAUUGCAGAAUCCCGUGAACCAUCGAGUUUUUGAACGCAAGUUGCGCCCGAAGCCACUAGGCCGAGGGCACGUCUGCCUGGGCGUCACACACCGUUGCCCCCCCUGAACCUCGCCAAUCCCUCUACAGGAGAGGCAGCCAGGAGGGGCGGAGAUUGGCCUCCCAUGAGCUUUUGUCUCGUGGUUGGCCUAAAUUCGAGUCAUCGGCUGCGAUCGCCGCGACAUUCGGUGGUUUUCGAUUGUAUCGGUGCCCCGUCGUGCGCGAAUCUGCAGCUGAGUGGACCAAUGCGACCCCAAUGCAUUACAUUGUAGUGCCUUCAACGCGACCCCAGGUCAGGCGGGAUUACCCGCUGAAUUUAAGCAUAUCAAUAAGCGGAGGA
rnacentral:rRNA from 1 species